rnacentral:rRNA from 1 species
CAGCCAUACCACUCCGAACGCACCCGAUCUCCUCUCAUCUCAGAAGCGAAGCAGGCUCGGGCCUGGUCAGUACUUGGAUGGGAGCAUUGCAAAGCCCAGGGCUG